UGUCUGUUUGGUUCGGUUUUCACCGGGGAAAGAAGGAAAAGAAACAGAGCAGAGCAAGGAAGAAAUAUGCAGAAAACAGAGAGAGAGAGAGAGAGAGAGAGAGGAACAGAGAGCUCGAGAUGGAGCUUCGGGAAGAAGGGAGACCAGAGGGACGAUGACAGUGAGGGUGAUGGCGAUAGUCUUAUGUUGUCCUCUGCCCAUCUCUGCUAUACUCAUGAUUGAUAGGAGUUGAGGACAUUGAUUGUGCACCCUGAAGGUCAAUUUGGUGAAUCAUUUUUGGGUGUUCGAUAAGCUUCCGAUUGCACGGAGGAACCACUUUUUGAUAUCGGGGAUCAGCUUGGAGGACUAGGUAGAAGUCUUAGUUAUUUGAUAAGUAUUCUCCUUGUACAGAAUGUAUUUGAACAUGUUACGAUCUGAAAUUUUUGUUUAGUUGGUUAGUGAUGUGGUUGAGAAAAGUUACUCCCUUUUGAGAUAUAUAUAUGUGUGUGUGUGUGUGUGUGUGUGUGUGUGUGUAUUAGAUAUUGCUGGAUUGGUUAUAUAUUUUUGAGAGUUAUGGAAAGCAAAUUUUAUAGGAAUA